AAAAAAAAAAAACCAACAAAAAACCAAAAACCAAAACAACAAAACCAAACCAACAUCCUAGAAUAAAUAUCCUAGAUGGCUAUUCCCACCCUGCUUUUUAAAGAUAGAAUCUCAAUAUGUAAACCAGGCUCACAACAGAACUGCUUCUGGCUUCUUCAGGUGAGAUUAAAGGUAUGUGGCAGAAUGUCCGACAGCUAAUUUUUAGAGGGCUGGUGUAUAUUAAGAGGUUUGGCUUUGGGGUUGAAGAGAUGGCUCAAUGGGUAAGAACGAGAAGCAUGAGUUCAAAUCUCCAGCACCCAUGUGAAAAAGCUGGGCAGUGACACAUGGCCCGUCAUCCCAGGGCUGGGGGGAGGGGAGACAGGAGUGUCCCUGGGUCUUGCAGGCUGCCAGCCUUGCUCCAGGUUCAGUGAGGGACCCUGUUUCAAGAGGACAUGGCAAGUGUGAUGGAGCAGGACACACACGUGCAUAUGCCACACACACACCACACUCAUAUACACACACCCCCCAAAUUAAUUUAAAUGAAAAAUAAAGGAAGAGGUGGGGCUGUUAAGAGCAUCCGGGCUCCCCCUUUGUGAACAGGAUUAAGGCCCACACGAGGCACCCUUCCCUCCCACCAGCAUAGGCUCUACUCCUGCACUGGCUUCUCACUGUCUCUCCCCAAGCUCAAGCUUCUGUUAUAUUAGACAUUCUCACUCGCGGACACUGCCCAACUUCCCUUUUAACCUUUGUCUUAGUCAGCUUCAGACAGAGCCCCGUGGCACAGAACUUGCCUAGUGAGCCUGAAGUCCAAGGUUUCAUUCUUAAUCUUGCCCCCCAACAUUUUUUCUACUCCAUUUUUUUCUUCUUAUCUUCGGUUAGAUCUACAAUCUGUCCUUCCUAUGAGCCUUCCUUUGUUCAUCUCAUUGGUUAGCUAGUUUAUUUCAAGGAAAUCUAUUUAGUUCUUUAUCAAAAUGUAUUUUUAUGCUUACUUGGUGUGUGUGCACACGAAAUCUGUGUAUGUACAACUGGUGUGUGUGGGGGGGUCUGUCCUCUCCUUCCACCACACGGGCCCUGGAGGGUGACUCACAUCACCUCUCUCACUUCUUGGUAAUGUAUGUUCAUCAAGCCAACAAGCCAGACCUGAGAAGCUCAAACUGGAGAGUUAGUAACAUGGAUGCCAGAGGAGCCAGUGGUAGCAGGAGUGAUUCAGGCAGGUACAGUCUCCUGGGAAUGGGUCCUAGUACCAUUGGUGGAUAACAGAAUCUGAAUGUUCAAGGCCCUAAUCCAAAAUGGUGUGCUAUAUAUGUAUAACUUCCACACAUCUUCUGGUACGGUACAUUUUAAAUCACAUUUAGACUUUUUACAAAUCUUAAAGAUUUCUGUGUAUGUGUUUGGUGUAUAUGCAUGUGUGUUUGGUGUGUAUGCAUGUGUGUUUGGUGUGUAUGCAUGUGUGUUUGCAUGUGUGUUUGGUGUAUAUGCAUGUGUGUUUGGUGUAUAUGCAUGUGUGUUUGGUGUGUGAGAGGAAGCCAGAGAAAGACGUUGUGCAACCUGCUCUCUCUCUUUCCACCCAUUCCCUUGAAAUGGGGUCUCUCACUAAACUUGGAGCUGGGCUGGCAGCCAGCAAGCCCAGCGGUCCUCCUGUCUCUGCCCCUCACAGUGCUGGGGUUACAGGUUUAUGUAACCAGGCCUGGCUUUUCACAUAGGUUCUGGGGAUCUGAACUUAGGUCCUUACACUUGUGCAGCAAGCCUAUUUCCCCUAUGAGCCAUCUCUUCAGCCCUACUUUUUUUUUUUGAGACAGAGCCUACAUAGUGCACCCAGGUUGGCCUCAAACUCACCAUGUAGUGAAGGAUGACCCUAAAUUCCUGAUCUUUCAGCCUCUACCCCUGACUGCUGGGAUCACAGGUCCGAGUCAACACUUUUAUAGUUCUGAGGAUGGGACCCAGGGCUUCAUGUACACUAGGCAAGCACUCUACCAAAAUGCCCUCUAACCCAGCCCAUUACAGUACUAUCAUACCCAAGACAACGGAAUGCUAUGUAUAUGUAAUUAGUUCUUAUUCCAUACUGUUUAGGGAAUGACAAGAAAAAUAUUGUAGAUGUCCAGUACGUAUGAGAUGAUUCUCCUGAAUAUUUUUGCAUGUGUGUAGUUGGUUGAAUUUAUGGAUGUUAUGGAUGUGGAACUGGUGGAUACAGAAAUUGGAGUAUAGGAAUAACAAGAAGCAGGAAGUCCCCGGGGAAAAUGAAUAGUCCAUGCCAUGUCUGAAUGUGGGACUACUACUCAGUUCCAGCCAGCUAGUCACAUAAGAAUGGAGCCCACUGUUGCCAGAGCUCCCAAGAAGUCACAGAUAAAGGCACAUACCUAACCUUUGUUAACAGCAGUAGGAAAAAAACAUGGCUGACAUAAUACACAGCUGCAUCAAAGAUGACUUCAUACUCUGUUUCUGGACACUCCUGAGGACAUUGAACAUGAUGCUGCAAGAGUCCCCUGUAGAGGACUCAACUGGGUCACUCAUGGUGGCAACACCUCUAUGCCAGCACUAGGGAGAAAGAAGCAGGUCAGUCUCUGUGAGUUUGAGGGCAGCCUGGUCUACAGAGAGUUGUAGGCCAGCCAGGGCUACAUAGUGAGACCCUGCUUAAAAAAAACAAAACAAAACAAAACAAAGGACCUACUGUAGUGAUAUACUGUGUACCCUACUAAACUUGCCUGGGGGAUCAGAGGAGAGAGCCAGCCACUAGAUUAAACAUAGAGGCCAGACAGUGGUGGCACACACCUUUAAUCCUAGUAUCCGGAAGCACACACACCUUUAAUCCCAGGAAGUGACGGCAGGGCGGAGAAAGAUAUAUAAGGGGUGAGGAAACAGGAACUAAGGCAGUUCAGCUGAGACCCUUUUGCGUGAGGACUCAGAGGCUUUCAGUCUGAGGCAACAGGAUUGGCUGAGGAGUUGGCAAGGUGAGGUUGGCUGUGGCUUGCUCUGCUUCUCUGAUCUGUCAGCUUUCACCCCAAUAUCUGGCUCUGAGUAUUUCUUUUUAUUAAAAGACCAUCUAAGAUUCAAACAACAACCUACUGCCUCAGCCUCCUUGAUUCCUACAGCUAAUGCUUUGGGAACAGCUCCUUCUUUUUGCCAUUAGCAGCAAAAAUCUUCAAUUUAUUGAAAAGUUUCAAGCCGGUGCAGUGAGCUCCCAGAAGCAGUCAGCACGGUUUUCUCUCCCCAACACCUUCAUAACUGCCCGUUACCACUAACUGAAUUCCUGCCCUCACCUAGGUCUCCUUAGCUUUGCCAACUAUGCCCCUUCUACCCCAGAACCCACCGAAGACACAUUUUUAAUCCAGUGGCUUUUAUCCUUAUUUACUUUUUGGUAGUGAAGGGAUGAAACCCAGGGUCUCACAUAUAUUUUAAGUAUACACUCUACCUCCAGUCCCUAAUUUAAUUUUAUUUUUAACUUUACAAGCAUGUGCUUUAGCUGGGUGUGGUGGUGCGCACUUAUAAUCUCAGCACUUGGGAGGCAGAAGCAGAAGGAUGACACAAGUUCAAGGCUAGCCUGGUCUACAUAGGGAGUUCUAGGCCACCCAGGGAUAUACAUGUAUGACUCGGUCCCAAAAAAAUUAAAAAUAAAUAAAUAAAUGAAAACGAAAAACAAAAAUCAACAGAGCAGGUGGGAUAGCCCAGCAGAUAAACACAAUCGUCAUACAAGCCUGAUGACCUGAGUUUGAUUCCCCAAAUCUGCAUAAAUGCAAAAGAGAAUCAACUUCACAAAUUAUUUUUUACCUCUAUACACACACUGUAGCACAUGCACAACUCCUCAAUAUCACACACACACACAAGACAGGGUUUCUCUGUGUAGCCUUGGAUAUCCUGGAACAACUCAUUCUGUAGACCAGGCUGGCCUGAAACUCACAGAGAUCUGCCUGCCUCUUCCUCUCUCUCUCUCUCUCUCUCUCUCUCUCUCUCUCUCUCUCUCACACACACACACACACACACACACACACACACACACACACACACACACACACACA